ensembl:lncRNA
CCCGUCUAUUGGUUGCCGGAGUUGUCACAAGUGAACACAGGUGACCUGGGACGCGCCAAGCCCCGCUGACAACAUCACAGCCAGCGGAAAUAAAAAUAAUUAGCAGCUGGAGUGCCAGUGGAGUGUAUCAUCCAGUUUUCUGAAAUUAUUAAUGACACAUAAUGCCUUUUUUUUGUUGCGUAGUUUGUGUUUGAGGAUACGAGCGAUUCCACUGACCGCAUUGGAGCGCACUGGUGGAAGACCCACGUAGUUUCCAGAACCUGCACUCCCAACUUCGUAUCAUCUGACCUUCAGAGCGUUUUCCAGUCCUCUCCAGGGUGUCCAGAGAUGUAGGGAGCAGUGGGAGGAGCACCCCCCCCCCCCUUCUCACUCUCUCAGCACCACUUUACUUACAAAGAGGUCCCACAUCUAGCCAGACUCUCUGGCAGUGUAUGUGCAAAUUUCCAAACGGAUAUCUUGAGGUAACCAUGGUUGACAGAGGAAGAACAAUGAUUCCAAGCACCACCCUCCUUUUUAAGCUUCCAGUCUGUUAUUCGAACUCAAUCAGCAUGACAGAGUGAACUCCAGCCUUGUCCUCGUCAACACUCACACUUGUGUUAACGAGAGAAUCACUGACAUGUCAGCUGGUCCUUUUGUGGCACGGCUGUAAUGCAGUGGACAUGUUUUUGGGGGAUUCAGUUAAUUUGCAUGGCAAAGAGGGACUUUACAAUGAAUUGCAAUUCAUCUGAUCACUC